AAUAUAUGAACUAAGCCUAGGAGGAGCUCGAACAUUACAUAUAUAGGCUAUACUACUUAGGAGCUUAUCACAAUUACAAUAGAUGUUUUCAAAGAUUCUUGCAUUCCUUUCUAACCAUAAACCAUAGAGCAUUCUGUUAUUGUCAUCUUGAAUGUGUGAGCUCGGAGAGAUUUCCCUUUAGAUUGUUCAAUGAACCAUUGGCAGAAUUGUGACCAAUCUGUCCAGUGCUGCCACUCCUAGCCAUUGCAGUGUCUGGUAUCUCAACUGGGAAGCCAAAUUGCAAUGCAAGAAUAAAUGGCCUCUAGUUUCCAUUUCUUGCUGGCACAUAACACAGAUGCCUGGUAU
rnacentral:lncRNA from 1 species